rnacentral:rRNA from 1 species
UGGGGAAUCUUCCGCAAUGGGCGAAAGCCUGACGGAGCAACGCCGCGUGAGUGAAGAAGGUUUUCGGAUCGUAAAGCUCUGUUAUCGGGGGCGAAAGGUGAGACUGUGAAUAAUGGUUUCAUAAGACGGUACCUGAUGAGAAAGCCACGGCUAACUACGUGCCAGCAGCCGCGGUAAUACGUAGGUGGCAAGCGUUGUCCGGAUUUACUGGGUGUAAAGGGAGCGUAGACGGUACUGCAAGUCGGGAGUGAAAUGCGGGGGCUCAACCUCUGGACUGCACUUGAUACUGCUUGACUUGAGUAAUGGAGGGGUAACUGGAAUUCUCGGUGUAGCAGUGAAAUGCGUAGAUAUCGAGAGGAACACUCGUGGCGAAGGCGAGUUACUGGACAUUUACUGACGCUGAGGUACGAAGGCUAGGGUAGCGAAAG